rnacentral:rRNA from 1 species
AACGAACGCUGGCGGCAUGCCUAACACAUGCAAGUCGAACGAAGCCUUCGGGCUUAGUGGCGCACGGGUGCGUAACGCGUGGGGAUCUGCCCUUGGGUUCGGAAUAACAGUUAGAAAUGACUGCUAAUACCGGAUGAUGUCUUCGGACCAAAGAUUUAUCGCCCAGGGAUGAGCCCGCGUAGGAUUAGCUUGUUGGUGAGGUAAAGGCUCACCAAGGCGACGAUCCUUAGCUGGUCUGAGAGGAUGAUCAGCCACACUGGGACUGAGACACGGCCCAGACUCCUGCGGGAGGCAGCAGUGGGGAAUAUUGGACAAUGGGCGAAAGCCUGAUCCAGCAAUGCCGCGUGAGUGAUGAAGGCCUUAGGGUUGUAAAGCUCUUUUACCCGGGAUGAUAAUGACAGUACCGGGAGAAUAAGCCCCGGCUAACUCCGUGCCAGCAGCCGCAGUAAAAC